GCUAUGUAUGGGCUCAAUAGUCUGGGCUCUUACUCAUUAAGGCUGAUCUGGCUACUGUCACUGCUGAAAGUUUAAGUUGCCAGCAACAAAAACCAACACUGGAACCCCCCAAUUUGGACCUGUCUCUUGAGGCAUGACUUGAUGUCAAGAAAAUAGGCCCACCAGAAUGCUGGAGUUGCUGCAUGCAGAGCUUAUAAAAAGAAAUGGAUCUAAGUGGUACAAGGGAUGGACCAUAGAAGAUGCUGUAAUAUGCCAUCUGGUUCCUGCUUCAAGACUGAAGGACUUAUUUCCCCAAGUUCCUGAGAGUUCUGCUGGUCAACAGCCUUCAGCAAUCAGCACUUGUUUGGAAUAUCUCUGGAGUGAUAAUUAAGAAACAGAUAAUAGUCGUUGCCUCUGGGAAGGACAGCUGGGCACUAGGAUUAAGCCAGAAUCACAGAAGCACAAAACAAAUCAGCCUAAUUUUGCCAUGAACUUUGCUUUUGACAUCUUUCUAUUUUUCAAAGAGAAUAAAUGUGCUGUUACUUGACUGCUCUCUUUCAGACUGAAGAAACGGAGAGCUAUUUUUGAAGCUCCUUAAAUCAGAGGCUAUGGCUUUUUACAAAAGCAGCCCCACAGGACAUCAAGACUGUGUUUGGAAACAUAUGUGAUAAAAAAAAAAAAGAAGAAACAAACCGUAAAAAUGAACUGGGAUCACCUUGUAAUUGGGCAGAGAGGGCUUCCUGCUGCUCUCUGUGUUUUUCUAAAAGCCAUUGCUUCUGCAUUUCUCACCUUUUGCUGUAAGAGACUGUACACAAAAUCUCCAAUUGCCAAGCAAAUCACAGCCGAGAGUCAGACCCCCUGUUUGGAAGAGACCUUUCUCCCCUCAAUAUUCUCUUUUAUUGAUGUUAUGGAAAGAAAUUAGAGAUACACAAAGAAUCAAGGGUAGUUAUACUGAAAAUGCAAGUCUUAUACAAAAAAACCCUGAGCGAGGUCUUACAAUAUGCCAACAUCCACACGGGGAUGACAUCAGACAGCUCAAUAAAGUUUAAUUGUUUCACUGCUGUGCUUCCAGGCAGACACCUUGCAUGCCAAUGGAGGAUAAGUGCCUUGUAAAUAAAAUGCAUCAUUAUUAUUUUACUUAAUAUCGUUAAAUAGCUGUUAUUUCCCCAGCCAGCGGAGGAGCAGGGAAGACUGGGGUGCAGUGUGUCUUGGGAAUGAUGCAUCCCUCAUCUCAUUCCAGAAUCUACCCGUAACUCUUAGGGUGAUAACUUCAGUAAGAGUUCCUCCUCUUCAGUUUCUUCUCCAAAGCAGGGUCAAAAAAUAAUUGCUACACCUACCUUCCAGAGCUCAGCGCAGUGGGGAUCAGCGAAUAUGUGUAUGGUUAUUAACCACAAAUAAUAUUUAUUGGCUGCCCACCAUUUUAAUGGCUCUGGUUUAGGAACAAUAUAAGGAUUUAUUUAAAAUAUAAAGUUAGCAUGAUUAAUUUUUAAGAUGUUUGCCGAUCUUUGAGUUAUAUUCUCCAGAACAAUUUUGAUACAAGUCCAAUUCUUCAGAUGUGCAGGCACAGAAAUUAUUAGCAUGAAAUUCUUUGAAAAUUUUAGAACAAGAUCUUUCAGCGGUGAAUAUUAUGUGAGAAGGCUCAGGUAAAAGAGAUAAUCUCUGAUUAUACCAGGGUGGUCUGUUGAGUUACAAUUUCUUAUCACAUACAUACUCAGCUAAAAGAUAAAGUUAUGUGAAAGCUUGCUUCUCAAAAAAAAUGCUUUUUUUGAAAAAAAAUUGUGUACAAAGCCAUGCAUAACAAUGAGCACCCACGAUGAGAAAAGUAAACAGCCAUG